GUGCAGCAGUCGAGAAACCUCCGCAAUGCGGGAAACCGCGACGGGGGGACCCCGAGUGCCGUGGCAACGCCACGGCUUUUCCGGAGUGUAAAAAGCUCCGGGAAUAAGGGCUGGGCAAGGCCGGUGGCAGCCGCCGCGGUAAUACCGGCGGCCCGAGUGGUGGCCGCUAUUAUUGGGCCUAAAGCGUCCGUAGCCGGGCCCGUAAGUCCCUGGCGAAAUCCCACGGCUCAACCGUGGGGCUUGCUGGGGAUACUGCGGGUCUUGGGACCGGGAGAGGCGGGGGGUACCCCUGGGGGUAGGGGUGAAAUCCUAGUAAUCCCAGGGGGACCGCCAGUGGCGAAGGCGCCCCGCUGGAACGGGUCCGACGGUGAGGGACGAAGGCCAGGGGAGCAAAACCGGAUUAGAUACCCCCGUAGU
rnacentral:rRNA from 1 species